rnacentral:rRNA from 1 species
UACGUAGGCAGCGAGCGUUGUUCGGAGUUACUGGGCGUAAAGGGUGCGUAGGCGGCCUUCUAAGUCGGACGUGAAAUCCCCAGGCUUAACUUGGGAACUGCGUCCGAUACUGGAGGGCUUGAGUGCGGGAGAGGGAUGUGGAAUUCCAGGUGUAGCGGUGAAAUUCGUAGAUAUUCGCAAGAACACCAGUGGCGAAGGCGGCUCACUGGCCCGAUACUGACGCUGAGGCACGAAAAGCGUGGGGGAGCAAAACAGGG